rnacentral:lncRNA from 1 species
UUCUUGGCCAUGAACCUUGAUAAGCUCUUAUGAUAGAGUUGAUCCAAUGGUUUUCUCACAUUUCUUGCCUGAACCUUAAUAAGCUCUUAUGAUAGAGUUGAUCCAAUGGCUUUCUCACAUUUCUCGCUCCAUAGUUGCGAACAACAAGAAUUGAUUAACUGGGAAUUGAUUCAUUGGGAAUUCUUGUCCCCUGUAGAUGCCUCUCUUGGGUGAACACUGAUUAGCUGGUUUGAUUGUUUUCUUAAAUUUAGGCUCGAAGAAAAGCUCCAUUUAGAUGAGGUGAAUGAUGUUGUGGGGGAUUGAGAUUCAAAGCCUGGGUUUAUUAUAAGAAAUUCUCCGUGUAAAAGGCGCAAUCGCCUAUCCUUUAACUCGUAGUUUCAUGUUCAUGUUUAGCCAAGCUUUUUGUGGUUCUUCUAUUUGGUAAUUUAAUCUUAUAUAUUCAAUAAGUUGUGUGUUUGAAAUCUUUAAAUACUGUGUGUUUUAUUGGAAGCUAUAAACAUCAAGAUUUACACCUUACUUGGGCACAAAUUAGAGAAAUAGCUUGAAUGACUAAUAUACUUCAUUGAAACCAUGAAUAUUUUCUGUAUACACUUU